UCCAGCUGCCCCCCUGGUUGUCCCCGCACGGAAGUCUGCAGCAUCUCUCAGGCACCGCACCCACCUGGCCCCCAAUUUUUCCCCGCCGGCAUUUCUGGUCUGAUCCUAUGAUUUGAAAAUUAAGGAUUCAUAAACGUCAUGUUGAUAUGAGGGAAUGCUGCAGUUGGUUUGAUGUACUUGACAGAAGCAUCAGGGAGAGAGGUGAUUUAGGGAGGGCACCUGACAUGUGAUUAUUCCAUAGUGUAAACUAAUUAGACUGGUUUUCAUCCGGCUGUAAAGUAGACAGUCCCAAAAUUUAUUAUACCUUGAGGCGACCCAAGAGCAA